rnacentral:lncRNA from 1 species
CGUCAUGGUGAGGGAUGAGUCACUUCCCCUGUGGGCAGCGAUGACUGACUGCCUCUGCUGCCUGUGGAGCUGCCACACCAGAGCUGGGCACACGAGGAGUCACCACCUCCAAUCAGCUCUCUGAUGACGACACGAUGUAAAAGCAGUUUAUUAAGCUGCAAGAUGAAAGACUUUUACAGCUCAUAAAGGAGGAAAGCUCAUAAGAAGUUUCUUCUUUGUAAGUCACUGGCACAGAAAGGAAUCAGAGGGACACAUUAUGGAUGUAGCAGCACACCUUUAGCUACACAGUGCCCUAAAACUGAGCUCAUAGCAAGGGUUCAUCUCCCUGAAUUCUGAAACUCAAAGACAAGGUUCUAAUUCCAGGACACUGCUGCAUGCAGUUGAAUCAAUGGUGGUCACAGCAGAUUCCUGACACUGUGAGAAAUCUUUCUGCUCUUCUGCUGCUGCAUGGUCUUCAUACGGACCUCCAAACUGAGCUGAACUUCUGCAAAGCAAGAAAAGACAACAUUUUAUUUAAAAAUAAACAAAGCAGCAUUGAUGAUUGGACUGAAACCCAGUGGAGAGAGAUUAAUGUGGAACAGAUGGAUGUGCAGCUCAGAAGGUUUGCCAAGCCCUGCAGAAGAAAAUUCCAAAGGGACAAGAGAAGUGCAAAGUGA